AGUUUGAUCCUGGCUCAGGAUGAACGCUAGCUACAGGCUUAACACAUGCAAGUCGAGGGGCAGCAUGAACUUAGCUUGCUAAGUUUGAUGGCGACCGGCGCACGGGUGAGUAACACGUAUCCAACCUUCCGUUUACUCAGGGAUAGCCUUUCGAAAGAAAGAUUAAUACCUGAUAGUAUGGCGAGAUUGCAUGAUAGCACCAUUAAAGAUUUAUUGGUAAACGAUGGGGAUGCGUUCCAUUAGGCAGUAGGCGGGGUAACGGCCCACCUAGCCGACGAUGGAUAGGGGUUCUGAGAGGAAGGUCCCCCACAUUGGAACUGAGACACGGUCCAAACUCCUACGGGAGGCAGCAGUGAGGAAUAUUGGUCAAUGGGCGAGAGCCUGAACCAGCCAAGUAGCGUGAAGGAUGAAGGUCCUACGGAUUGUAAACUUCUUUUAUACGGGAAUAAAGUAUCCUACGUGUAGGAUUUUGUAUGUACCGUAUGAAUAAGCAUCGGCUAACUCCGUGCCAGCAGCCGCGGUAAUACGGAGGAUGCGAGCGUUAUCCGGAUUUAUUGGGUUUAAAGGGAGCGCAGACGGGAGAUUAAGUCAGUUGUGAAAGUUUGCGGCUCAACCGUAAAAUUGCAGUUGAUACUGGUUUCCUUGAGUGCAGUUGAGGCAGGCGGAAUUCGUGGUGUAGCGGUGAAAUGCUUAGAUAUCACGAAGAACCCCGAUUGCGAAGGCAGCUUGCUAAACUGUAACUGACGUUCAUGCUCGAAAGUGUGGGUAUCAAACAGGAUUAGAUACCCUGGUAGUCCACACGGUAAACGAUGGAUACUCGCUGUUGGCGAUAUACUGUCAGCGGCCAAGCGAAAGCAUUAAGUAUCCCACCUGGGGAGUACGCCGGCAACGGUGAAACUCAAAGGAAUUGACGGGGGCCCGCACAAGCGGAGGAACAUGUGGUUUAAUUCGAUGAUACGCGAGGAACCUUACCCGGGCUUAAAUUGCAGACGAAUUACGAGGAAACUUGUAAGCCGCAAGGCGUCUGUGAAGGUGCUGCAUGGUUGUCGUCAGCUCGUGCCGUGAGGUGUCGGCUUAAGUGCCAUAACGAGCGCAACCCUCGUGGUCAGUUACUAACAGGUUAAGCUGAGGACUCUGGCCAGACUGCCAUCGUAAGAUGUGAGGAAGGUGG
rnacentral:rRNA from 1 species